UCUCCGUUGGUGAACCAGCGGAGGGAUCAUUACUGGAAUCGCAAGAUCCCACAACCCUGUGAACCUACCGAAACGUUGCCUCGGCGGGUGCCUUGCCCCCGCGCCGGGCGCUGCCCCCGCCGGCGGCCCCCUACUCUGUCUCUGCAGCGUGGCAUCUCAGAGUCCCAGAAAACAAGUCAAAACUUUCAACAACGGAUCUCUUGGCUUUA
rnacentral:misc_RNA from 1 species